UACGGGGGGGGUAAGCGUUGUUCGGAAUUACUGGGCGUAAAGGGCGCGUAGGCGGGAUGGCAAGUCGGUCGUGAAAUCCCUCGGCUCAACCGAGGAACGUCGAUCGAUACUGCUGUUCUUGAGGAUUGCAGAGGAGACUGGAAUUCCCGGUGUAGCGGUGAAAUGUGUAGAGAUCGGGAGGAACACCGGUGGCGAAGGCGGGUCUCUGGGCAAUUCCUGACGCUGAGGCGCGAAAGCGUGGGGAGCAAACGGG
rnacentral:rRNA from 1 species